rnacentral:rRNA from 1 species
AUGUACCUGCGUUGUGCGAUCCACGACGACCCCAGUCGCUGGCGCCGAUGGCUUCCAGCCGCGGAAUUCUGGUACAAUUCCUCCUUCCACGCCUCCCUUAACUGCACCCCGUUCAAAGCUGUGUAUGGCACCGAGCCCAAUUUGGGGGCCACAGCACUCUGGGACGACAAGCCGGCGCCGGUCCUCGACAACGAGCAGUGGGACUGGGGCGCGCACACCGCCCGUCUUCGUCAGCAACUGCUGCGAGCUCAGCAACGCUUCAAGAAGAAGGCGGAUCGCCAUCGCACGGAACGAAGCUUUCAGGUGGGCGAGGACCUGCUGCUGAAGCUUCAGCCGUACGCUCAGUCCUCCGUCGUCAAUCGACCCUGCGCCAAGCUGGCCUACAAAUUCUUCGGGCCAUUCAAGGUGGAGGCCAAGAUCGGGACCCUCGCCUACAAAUUGAUGCUGCCGCCGGACAGUCGCAUCCACAACGUCUUCCACGUCUCCCAACUGAAGCCGUACACGCCCAACUACACGCCGGUCUUCGCUGAGCUGCCCAAGCCACCGGACCUGACUCUAGUGGAGACGGCGCCCGUGGAGAUCAUCGACAGACGCAUGGUGAAGCGCGGCGACGCAGCUCUGGUUCAAGUUCAGGUGCGCUGGAACUCCGCUUCACCAGCAGCCGUGACAUGGGAGGAUUUCGAGACGCUCAAGCUUCGUUUCCCGGCCGCCGCAAUCUGGAGAGAGCCGGCCGGAGCGCCAGGUGACGCUCCUUCUGAUGGAGGGGGAAAUGUCACACCUGCACCCACUAGUGCCACGGUGGACCUGAUCAGCCAAUAG